rnacentral:rRNA from 1 species
ACAGAGGGUGCAAACGUUGUUCGGAAUUACUGGGCGUAAAGCGCGUGUAGGCGGCUAUGCAAGUCGGACGUGAAAUCCCAUGGCUCAACCAUGGAAGUGCGCUCGAAACUGCGUAGCUAGAGUCCUGGAGAGGAAGGUGGAAUGCUUGGUGUAGAGGUGAAAUUCGUAGAUAUCAAGCGGAACACCGGUGGCGAAGGCGGCCUUCUGGACAGUGACUGACGCUGAGACGCGAAAGCGUGGGGAGCAAACAGGAUUAGAAACCCCCGUAGUCC